rnacentral:sRNA from 1 species
AGAAAUAAAUGUGUGUUGGCAGAAAGACAAACCCUGAGAUGAAGCAGGAGGCACUUCUGGAUCCAGCUGUGUGAUAGCCGCACUAGGAAAUACCUGGAGUCACAGUGUGAAUACCCGGCUGAUUCUCCAGUACCUUGAUUCAGAGAGAAGACAGAUUCUUAUUGCCAAGUCCCCUCUGGCUCCCUUCACCUCAUUUGUCUACACCAUCGAGGAGGAAGGCCUGGUUCUUCAAGCCUAUGGAAAUUCCUAGAGACAGAGAAAUGUGCAAACCUGUUCAUCUUGCCAAGAAAAAUCCGCUUUUCUGCCACAGAAACAAAAUAUUGGGAAAGAGUCUUGUGGUGAAACACCCAUUGUUCUCUGCUAAAACGUUUGUUUGCUACUGUGUAGACUCAGCUUUAGUCAUGGAAUUCUAGAGGAUGUAUCUCACAAGUGGGAUCAAGAACAAGCCCGACAGUAAUCUGCACCAUAAGUUGAUUUGAUACCAUGGCACUGACAAUGGGCACACAGGGAACGGGAAGUGGGAAUGAGA